AAGUGUGUCCCUGGGGGCAGGCUUUGGAGUUUAAGAAGCUCAAGCCAGGUCCAAGGUUGCUCUCUCUUCCUGCUGCCUGCAGAUCCACAUGGAAGCACUCACAGUUCUUUCUCCAGCGUUAAUGAGCUAAACCUCUGAAAUGAAUCGUUUCCAGGAGUGGCAGGAAGACCCAAGCGAGCGAGCGGGAGCGCACAGCAGUCUUGGCAACCCCUCAUCACGGAAGCCUAUGCAGAGUUCAUGAGUGGUGCUCUUGUUUGCCAGCGUUGCAGUGCAAAGUUGCUAAUCUUGCAGAAGAUGCAGGAUGUUAUGAAGCCAUUGGAAGCGAUUCUGGACAAGUGUUUCGUAAGCAAAUGAGCGUCUGGCAGUGCUGAGCCCUCUCACAAUGAGAAAAACAACACCAUACUAGCCGAGUACAGGCUUCAGAGACUUGCUUGAAUCUCAAAGGACUAGAAGAGGCUCUUAGGAAUAUGUACAGAAACCUCUACAUC